ACAUCAAAUUAGGAAAAAGUCAUAAAGCCCUUCCCUUCAAAAACGCACAGUUAGGUGGGACAAGAAAAACCCCUAAUCAUAUUUUGAAUUUCAAACCCACUCUCAGAUGAUAACCAGGAUCUCGAUCUGCUCUCUCUCUCUCUCCAUCAUUAAACCGAAGAAGAAAAAGAGCAUCAGUUUUUUUCAGAUUAGAUCUGAAGGUACUCCGGCUAAGACGUGGACAACGACCAGCGUUAUGGAAGGCAACACAGACGGUGGACAACGACCAGCGUUAGUAUUAAUCUCGAGUCUACAUGUGUUUCAGGUUUGACAAUCUUAGGAUACCUAGAGAAAACUUGUUGAAUUCAGGCUGCUACUAUGAUGUCAUCAUUUGCCGACCAUAGCUUCUCAAACGGCCAUCAUUUUGACCCGAUAAACAGUGAUGCAGAUUAGCAUGGAGGUUGUCUGACAAGAACUCACACUUUGAAUCCUUUUAGGGAGGUAAUAUAUGUACAUAUUAGUUGAGGCAAUCAUAACUGGUCCUCUUAUGUACUUGCAGCUAGCACCUUGUAUUCUUUGGAAAGUCUGUGUUGCUGGUUAAAAACACUUGAGUUCAUUCUUUUCUCACCACAACUUGUUAAUCAGAAGGCAGGAAAUCCGAUGGACGGAAUGGGCAAGCUAUAAACGGAGGUAAUGAUUCGGCUAGAACUUUCCAUACGGUGGUGGUCCUUAAGAAUCACGUAAACAUUAUCGAUAGAUUCCAAGGGUUCCGGCGAAGACGAUGGUCCGCUUUCCGACAAUGGUUUCGACACCUCUGAUGAACUCCGGUGGAGGAGACUAGGGUUUCGUUGAAGAUGAAGGAGCAGCAUAUAGUGUAUUUACAAGAGUUGAUGUUGAUGAAAAUGAGGAAGGAUUUGGUGAUAUCGACAAUGAGUUUGAUCUAUCAAAUGGUGUUUCUGACUCGCUUCUUUCUACACACCUUGAUUAUAGGCGGUGACCAUAUAAUGCAUACGAUUUUCCCACUUCAUGGUCAAGAGGAAAACACAUGUUAUGCAGACUAUUCAAUAUCUCUUGGAACAUCUUAAGUGGACCUGGCAAACGGGUCGGGUCGGGUCAUGAGUCAAAACAGAUUCGGGUCAAAACGGGGUAAUUAAAAAGGGGUUGUUUUGGUUCGGGUCGAAACGGGUUCCGGUCGGAACGGUUAAAAAUGUUUUUUUAAACAGAUUGUACAUCAAGGGUCAAUUUUGUUCGGUUCGAAACGGUACUGGUCGAAACGGUCCGCGUCGAAACGGUUCGAUUCGAAACGGUACGGGUGAUCACUUCAACCAUAGAGACGAGCCGGUUCACGGUGGGCCAGUUUAUAUAUGGAUCCAAUAUGUAUCUACAAGAAAGGAUAUUGAGAUGGAUUAGAGAAGAGGAAGAGUGGUUAGCAGCUAAUAAUGGCACAUCUGUAAAAUGUGUAAUUAUUGAUAUGACUGGCGUAUGCACGAAUAGGCAUGGCUAAAGACGGAGUAAAGAUGGAGAGUUGUUGGAGCGCCUUAAAAACACUUGGCAACAGAAGAAGAUAUGGCGCUGCUAAAAGUUUUAAGUUCUUUUCAAACUUUAGUAAAAAUAGGGAUGACAAACGAACAUUGAUAAGAUCUGUGUCAAUCUUCCCAAUUUCAUCUUGUUUAAAUUCAAGAAGAUUGGAACUUGAGGCAAAAAGAAGAAUACGUGUAGCAACAUCUAAGUUGCUGGCUAGGGGCACUCAAAAUAAGCAUUUGAGUGCUUGUGUAUAUUUCAUCGGAUGAUGGAGUCGUUUGCUUCUGUACAUUACAAGUGCGUGUAGCAAAAAAUUACAUGCAAGCAAAAACUUAAUUGAAAACAUGUUUUUAUACUUCAUAACUACAGACUUAGGCGGUCAAACUUCUCCUUUUUAAACAUAUCCUCUUGCAUGUGAUGAA